rnacentral:misc_RNA from 1 species
CUACCCGUCGCAUGCCACCUACGCUGUGCGAUCUACAUCAUCAGAGACAGCAAUGCGACCCGGACGAAACCUGUAGCAGAAAUAUCAGUUCACGUGUGCUCCUGUGCGUGAGUGCGUCUCUGUGCGACUCCUCAUCCACCCUCCACCCUCAAAACACACGCACACGCACGGACGCACGCACUCCCUUGGUGGGCUUAAGUAGCUUAGGCACUUGGUAGUUAUACUAGAAGCACUAGCACUCCUCCCUCAUUCCCUUUUCUCUCGGUGGCUUGUCCGUGCCAGUCUUCACCACCGCAUAGCAGCCGAAGGCUCAUUUUAGCGUUCGCGGCACUUCUCUGCCGCCGCGAGCUCACUCUCUCUCACGUUUGCGUGUGUCUGCGUGCCCUCGCACGCGAAUGCGUGGUGAGCGGCCGGCUUCUCUUUUUUUUUUUACCUCAUCUCUCUGCUGUUCCUUCUCUGACUUGCGCAGCCGCCUCCGUGAGUCGCCACACGUGUCUAGUCGUUGUCAGGCAAACGACCAUCCCCCCUCCCCCUCCCCUCCGUUUUCUGCGUAGUUCGGGUCGAGGGACGCGCGGUCCGCAGUCAUGCUUCGCUUACCUUGCUUCGCCACUCGCGCGGCCGCGGCCCCAGCCGUAUGCCCGAGCGUUAUGGCGGUGUCCGCCGCUAAGCGACAGUACCGCAUUAUCCCGCACCUCUACAAUGAAAUUGAAGAACUCGCGGAGACGCAGCGGCGCGGUCGCUGGUCGAUCUCGCACCGCAACUGCCUGCAGCAGCCGCUGAAGAAGGCGGAGAUCAUGUGCGACAAGCUGAACCUGCGCGAAGGCCGUCGCAGCGGCGUGCUGCCGGAGAAGUCCAUCGCGCGCCGGCUGAGCCAGAAAUACGCUGUGGACGGCAAGGUACACGAAAGCGAGUCGAAGACAAGGCUCAUCAGCAUCACCGUCGUCAACUUCGACGGCCACCCGUUCCACUUCCGCACGUACCCGAUGCCGGAUGUCACACUCAACACCCUCAUCGACGGCUCAGGCAUGUGCCACGGCCACGCCACACACUGGGGCAAGUGCAACAACCCCGACUGCUCCGACUGGAACCACGGCGAUGGGUGCAUGGUGAACGUGGACAUCGAGACGUUAGACCGGCUCCUGCCCCCAAAUCGGUGGGAGUACACGUCACUGACAGCGUGGCGCGCGACGGACCGGCCGGACAUCACCUUUAACACCCGCUUCAGCUGCCAGAUCCCGAUCACGGAGGAGCUGGACGGCGCUGUGUUUGCGCUGAAGCAGCUGUGGACGCGUGCCCUGCGUGAGUCUGUCUCCGACUGGGGUCUGGUGGACGACCAAGCGACGAUCCACGGUGCUCGCAGCAAGAGGAUCGAGCCGUGGGCGCCGAUCAUCGAGGAGCCGACAAAGGUGGACUUCCCCAUCACGUGGGACAUGCUCUGGGCGACCGGCUACCAAGACAUCAUGAAGGAGAAGUACUCGAACUUUCGUCGAAAGGACGGCUUUCACACGAAGCCGGAGAUGUGGGCCGCAUACGUGUGAACCCCCCUCUUUCCAUCUCUCCAUAUACCGACAAUGCACGUGCGAGCUGUAACCACGCCGUGCCUUUCCGUCUUGCUUUCUUGCUGAGCGGGUGCCUCGCUCUGAGAAUGUGAGCAGUGCGGGGGCGGUGGCGGGAGGGGGGAGGGGCAUAAUGUGGGCCCCUCCCCUCUCUCCUUGAUGUGCAUCCUCAGCUUGCUCUUUCUUCUUGUGCGCGCUCUAGCGACGAAGCUCUUAUUUCACUGCCGCUCAUAGCGAUGUGCGCGGUCCUGGUGCGUUCACGCUCACUCGCCGUGCUGAGCUUCCAGUCGACCUACACGAUGCUGACCCUCCUCUCCCCCCUGUGUGCAUGUGCGCACGUCGCUCUCUCUCUCUCUGCCCCCCUUUUUUUUCGCUCUCUGGUCUGUUCACCGCUCGCGUAGGCCUGCUGAACAGUCGUCACCAGUGGCGCACGAGAAAGCGAAGGGCCUUUGCUGUUGCCGUGCAACGAGCGAUGAAAGCCGUGACGAGUUGUGGUCGGCGGUGAAAGUGGAGGGGAGGGGAGGGUGGAAAAGGCUGGCAGCGGUGGCGGCACGGCGCUCGUGCGAGCCCAUCGGACCCGCUCUACCAGCUUCGCGCCGGAGGCUCCGUGCGUAGGAGCGGCACACGCAUCUUUCGUUACUGUACGCCCUGACUGCGCCAUCUCUCAUCAUGCAGAUGCUCCUGCUGUUUCCGUCGCUGGCGCCGUGACGGUGCUGAUCUUUGCUUCACUCUCCUUCUCCUUUCCAUCUGUCCUGUGCCACCGUCACCCCAUCACACCACCCGCACGCAG